CCAAAUACAAAGAAAGCCUCCGUGCUGCACGUUGCUGUGAUGAGAGAGAAGCCUGGAAUGUGUCACCUCCAUCCUUCACUGAGCUGCAAGGGAAACUUCAAGAGCUCACGGUAAACAUUUAGAAAAGGGACCACAUGCAACUCAAUCACAGCACAAACAGUCUCUGCCCCCCCGGUGAGCCUCACCGCGUCAGCGGAGACGAGGACAUGGUGGAUCCUCGGGCUCAGGUAUGUUGCAUUCAGGUGCCGUUUGGAUCCCGCGUCACGGGGCGAGACGUCGCGGCGCGGACACGCGGCGCAUCCCGGCGGCGCGCUCCGACGCGCGUUCCAUGGAGCCGCUUCCCCGCGGAGCUGCUCCGGCUUCUCUGUUCUUCAACUCGUUGGUUUUCUCCGAGUGGAACUUGCGGAUGUUCCGCUGCAGAACUCGCGCAUCCAAAACGGCUGUGACUCACUUCCCAAAACGCAUCCGUUUUGUCCUCCGGGACGAGAAGAAGAACCGCAGCUGGGAUUCACAUUAUUCCAGAUGUGAGAGGGUCCGGCUUGGAACCUUCUCGGUUAUUGUUCAGCAGGGGGCGACUCCUCUGGUCCCAUAGAAGUCUACUACCAACAUGGAUGCGUCUGUUCAUCCAAGAUGGAAACCACAAACCAACGAGUAACGGACCGGACUCCGUCACCCGGACUCCGUCACCCGGACUCCGUCACCCGGACUCCGUCACCCGGACUCCGUCACCUGGACUCCUCCCACUUCUCAUGAACGAUCAACUAAAUUGAUGUUGAUGUUGUAACACAAUUCCAUUGCGAUCCAUGGAGGAAACAAUAGACGUUACACUGCUGAAGCUCUGCAAGAAGAACAAAGAAUCCCGUGGAGCACUUUGUCUCCAUCACUUAACCCACUUUGAUUCAGGAUCUCACCAAAUAAACAUCACUGCUCAACAUCUGACUCAUUUCUGUGGUGUUAAUUGGCCGUAGUUCUCCAUCAAAGGGCUUUUCAUUUUUGCAGUUUCUCCCCUUUGACUAGAUUACCAUUAUGUUGGCUGAGGACAAAAGACAUAUUUUACAUCAAGAGCUCAGGUGAAGAGAUGUGUCCAUUCACCUCUGACCCCCGUUCUCUUCUUCUGUGGAGAUAAAGGACUACAAACUACCAAACAGGUGGAACGACUCCGAGAGCUGCAAGAAGAAGAAUAAAGGGCAAAACUCCAGCACACUGCUGCCACCUGGUGGCAGGAAGGACCUUCACACGACCUGACACGGUACAGGGUUUAUUGUAUAUUAAAUCAGAAAAGAGAAGCACUAUAAACAUACAUUAUACAAGAACAUUUGUAUAUCUAUAUCAAAUGACAUUACACCAAAAAAAAAAAAAAAGUGCACAAAAAAUCUCUUUAAAUAACAGAACUGUACAUUCUUUAAUAUGCAACUAAAAUAGUAACAAAAUAAAAGAGAGAGCAGGAGAGAGACGGACGGGCGGCUAGAAGCGAGUUAGAGAUUCCACUUUAUGAUGCAGCUCACUGCGGGAAUAUGAAAAGUCACAAAAUAAUAAAGUAAGGCAGCAGAAGGCGAACGUUUACAGCAGGAAACAGAGAAAAGGGGAAAUUAAACUGCAGUGUCUUUAAGAGCUAACCAGAGGGAAACAAAGCAAAACAGGUGAGACUGAAUAUAAACUUCAUUUCAUAGUCACGUAUAAGUGCGUCCACACAGUGCAGCUUCAGCACUUUCGGGCCCAGAACAAAAAAGAAAAACAACAAGUGCCACCGUUGUUUGCAGGCAGUUUACAAAAAA